CGCGAUAACGUAACUCUAUUCCAAACAAAAAGUGUUCCAAAAUCCGGACGUCAAAAUGACGCGACAGUUUCUGCGUAUGGGGGCGGGAACCAGCGACGUUUUUCAAUCUGUCCAAUCAGCAGCCUCCAUCGUUGCCGGAAGUAUGUUUUGCUUGUUUUUUAUUUGCAAAGGGACCGUAUAGCAAGUGACAUAAAGACAUAAACGUCUGAUAAAAGAACAAUUGUAUGUCGCUGAGAGUAAAAGUGUUUUGUAAUCUUUUAACGCAAGAGAAGUUGAAGCGCACUUGAAAGUAAGCACAAAUAUUUUAAUUUUUUGAGUCAUAGCCACACACGUGCCAAUUCCGCAUCCAAUCCAUUUCGCUACGCACACUUAAGAUGGCGGCUACGUGAAAACAGCUGAUCGGUCCUGUGGCCCGCACUUGGUGUAUAUUUGUCCGUAACGUGAGUAGUUGAAAUCUUGCCGUACGUGGUACUUUCGCCCGAGAAGAAUUCUGGAAGCUGUGAACAUCAUGAAGACUGCGAAAGCGUAGUGCUCGGAUACGGAAGAAUCGAUGAAGGUUGGAAGGCAUCUCAACAGAUAGCUGGAAGACGGGAGGUGGAAAGUUGGGCGGCCUAGAGGGUCGAGUGAUCGCCGUGCUCGCCCAUACCGGCCCAGCCUCCGCCCCUGCGGAUUUUUUUCACGGCGAUGCUGAGGAGGACAGUAGUAGUGAGGAGUCCGCUGAAGUGCCCCCUGCCCCACCAGCAGCUGCGCGCGUCUCGGUGGGCACGGAGCCGGGGACCAGUGGCACUGCACCUCGGCAGCAGCCCCGCAGGCCACCCCGACUUCAGGUCCUCACGGACGCCGCAUCAAGGACCGCCGCGGACUAUGCCCGGCAGAGCCAGUUAGCUGAGGCGGCAAACGCGGAGGCCGCAAGCUUCCACCAGCAGUUGCUGCAGCAACAUCGGCAGCUGGUGGAAGAGCAGCGAGCGACGCGGCAAGUCCUCGAGCAGCUGGUGGCCGAGAUGCGUGGUUCGCGAGAGGCGAACACCCUCAUUGCGACCACGCUGCGCCAGCUGCUGGCUGCCCUGGCCGACCUGCGCGCGCCGCCUCAGCAUUAAGGGGCAGCUUUUUUUUUUUUUUGCCAUAUCAUCCUUUAGUGCUUUGUUAGGUACAAGUGUCACCUAUCUAUGCAUGUUUUUUUUUUUUUUAUGCAGCACUAAAGGAUGAUAUGGCUGUUUUCCGUAAUUUCUGUCCCUAAUCAUAUUUUUUUUUCCAAGGUAAUUUCUGUCAUGUUUAUUUUAAUAUCUAGUGCAAGUUUCGCGUUUCUGUUCAUUACCGUGUUUUUUUAGUGUGUCAUUUAGUCAUUUUGUGUAAUUAUCUAUGUUCUAUCUAUCUAUGUGUAAUUAUCUGUCAUGUUUAUUUUAAUAUCUAGUGCAAGUUUCGCGUUUCUGUUCAUUACCGUGUUUUUUUAGUGUGUCAUUUAGUCAUUUGGUGUUUUUAUCUAUGUCCAAGUGAGACGGUAUAAGGUAUAUUUACAAUUUUUGUCAUAUUUUUGCGUUUCUGUUUUUUACCGUAUUUUUUUCUCCAAGUUCAUUUCAUGUGUAUUAUUCUUUGUCCAAGUGAGACGGUAUAACUUAUAUGUACAUUUUUUGCCGUAUUUUCGUUAGGUGUUGUUCACUUUUGUUUUGCUGUUACUUAUAUGUUUCAAUGUGCGCCGUUCUUCCACGGAAGAUACACUGUGCAAUCACUUU